rnacentral:misc_RNA from 1 species
GCGAGUAUGGCCCUCACGGGUCUAAUCCACCACAAACACCUUUGUGAACCAGUCAGGGGGACUCGGCCGUGAAAGCCCAGGCGAUUAGUGGAAGGGCCCUCCUUUGCAAACCCGUUUAGAAGUCUUGAAAGUACUUUUGUAUAAUCUAGUA